rnacentral:rRNA from 1 species
AUUGAACGCUGGCGGAAUGCUUUACACAUGCAAGUCGAGCGGCAGCACGGGGGCAACCCUGGUGGCGAGCGGCGAACGGGUGAGUAAUACAUCGGAACAUGCCCAGUCGUGGGGGAUAACACUUCGAAAGAAGUGCUAAUACCGCAUACGUCCUGAGGGAGAAAGCGGGGGAUCUUCGGACCUCGCGCGAUUGGAGUGGCCGAUGUCAGAUUAGCUAGUUGGUGGGGUAAAGGCCUACCAAGGCAACGAUCUGUAGCUGGUCUGAGAGGAUGAUAAGCCACGCUGGGACUGGGAAACGGCCCAGACUCCUACGGGAGGCAGCAGUGGGGAAUGUUGGACAAUGGGGGCAACCCUGAUCCAGCCAUUCCGCGUGAGUGAAGAAGGCCUUCGGGUUGUAAAGCUCUUUCGGCAGGAACGAAACGGCGAGCUCUAACAUAGCUUGCUAAUGACGGUACCUGAAGAAGAAGCACCGGCUAACUACGUGCCAGCCGCCGCGGUAAGAC